UUAUUCAAGCUUUCAUUUUACGCGCAACCACUGGCCACAAAAAUAAACCUUGUUUCAAUUACAAUUAAUUAGUAAACGUGUUUCUUUGUUUUCAGUGAGGAAAACAAACAGGGUCACAAAUAAAAUAUUUAAUUAAAACGGGAGUUAUUUUACUUCCGUGGAAAACAACUAUUUGAAAAAAUUAUAUUACAAUAAAUCAAAAAUUGACAAAAGGAAAAUAAUUCAAUGGAGAAUAAAAAUGGAAUUUCAUACUAAUAAAAAAAAAAACUUUGAAUACACCUUUUAUCGUUUCAUUUUUAUCCUUUUCAAGCAAAUACAUGACCAUUAAAAUAAAUCGAAGAGGCCGACCUUUCUCUAAAAUUAGUGUUCAAAUUUGUAAACCGUUUGGGUUUAAACUUUCCCACAUUGCUGGUAAAGAUCAUGAAUUAUUUAUCAAUACACCUACGUGUAAUCCAUUUAUUCGGCAAAAGUUUACAAUAAUGAAACAAAAUUAAUAACGUUGUGGUUGCUAAUAGACUUAAAAAAUAUUUCAUAAUGAUAAUACACUCUAGACUUUGCAGCGGAAAGACUUUCAUCUAGUGGAGCGCGACGCUGUUAUAAAUCAUAGUACGAGAGAAGAGGUUAAAACUUUCGCAACAGUUUCUGCUUGAGGUUUUAGCGACAUAUUAGUUUAGUUUGCACUACUUUCAAGAAAAAAUUAAAGAGCAAUUUAUUGUUAAAUUUACUUGUCAAGAAAGGGGCAUCGAAUUUGUGAAAAAUAAUUGAAAAUCGUUAUUUUCUAAAUCAAAUGCAGAAUACUUGUAAAUUUAAAUUUUGAUAAGAUUUUUUGUUAUCUAAAUACGUGAUUGAUAAGAACGUGUUCAUUACAUUAGUACUUCAAAAAGUGACACAUUGUUGAGAACAGGGCAAACAAACUGCCACUUCAGGUUUUGUUAGUUACGCCUAUGGUGGCAGAUUCUCACCUGGCCGGAUGAGGUCUUCAAUGUGCUCAGGAACGACGGCUCGAGCUUCUCUUACUGUGGAUUCCACGACGGCGGUGUCGUCCCCCAGGUCCAACAUCAGGUCAUCCUUGGCAGGGAUGGCCCAAGUAGCAGGAACAACAACCAGUAGGAAAAACGCACCCGCGAUUUUACACAUGUUUACCAACCUAAAUAAAACGCGCCUUAGGCCGAAUUUAUCGACGGUCAACAAAAAAGCGCCCUCACGGGAAGAUAAUGUAAAAAAACGUGAAAUAUGUACGUUUUAACAGCAAGUGCUUUUUAAUGCACCUAUUUGUUAUACCCGAUAUAUCGGUGUUUGCUUUGGCUGUGUUCACGGACUUGUAAAUUCACUCUACUUAUAACUGUGCAUUUUUUUUUCGUCGGAGGAGGUUUGGAAGGGGCUGUUUUUUUCACUGCGGUUUGAGUUAUACAAUUCGGGGUUUUUAGAUAAUAGUGACGUAAUGUUACCAGAUGACGAGCACUUUGUUAUACUUCGAUUCCUUCAUUCAACGACCUAUAAGCUUUUUUCGUGGGAUCGUAAACCAUGAAUUACUGCUGCCAAUACCAGAAUAAAUAUUUUGCGGUUCAUUCAUAACCAAUUAAGUAAACGUAUAAUUAAAAUGAUGACUGAAAAACGUCGACGUCUUUAUUCUUCGGUGGUCGAGUUUGAUUCGGUUUUUUCGCACAUUGUGCAAUUAUGGGGGUGUUGCUUCACAGAACGCAUCUCUGGUUUGGUUGACGUAACACCAACACUUAAUUUCUUCUCUCUCUUUUUUUAUUAUCUUCAAGAAAGUGGAUAAGUAAUGAUAUUUUCUCCUCUACUUUAGUUGUGAAUGUCCUUGAUGAUGACAACAGAAAUCGCUCAAACGAAACGCAGUUACAAGCAACAAAAAAUUGCGUCCGUCUGAAACUUGAUUUCAAGUACAUAUUUGUGUCAAUUGUAAAAUUUUUUGCUUAGUUUACUAUUUUUACUAAUUAGUUACACAGUUAAUCGUUUUAUUGUAAACAACGAUAAAUAAAAUCUGUAGUUACUGUACUUUAGUUAAUAAAACAAAUCAUAUUUGCAA